GGGGUGGGCAAAAAAAUUGAAAAUUUUUUCAAGGUCCGAGGUGGGCGAAAAAUUGAAAAUUUUUUCAAGGUCCGGGGUGGGCGAAUAAUUGAAAAUUUUUUCAAGGUCCGGGUGGGCAAAAAAAUUGAAAAUUUUUUCAAGGUCCGGGGUGGGCAAAAAAAUUGAAAAUUUUUUCAAGGUCCGGGGUGGGCAAAAAAAUUGAAAAUUUUUUCAAGGUCCGAGGUGGGCGAAAAAUUGAAAAUUUUUUCAAGGUCCGGGGUGGGCGAAUAAUUGAAAAUUUUUUCAAGGUCCGGGUGGGCAAAAAAAUUGAAAAUUUUUUCAAGGUCCGGGGUG